UACGGGGGGGGCAAGCGUUGUUCGGAAUUACUGGGCGUAAAGGGCUCGUAGGCGGCCAACUAAGUCAGACGUGAAAUCCCUCGGCUUAACCGGGGAACUGCGUCUGAUACUGGAUGGCUGGAGUUUGGGAGAGGGAUGCGGAAUUCCAGGUGUAGCGGUGAAAUGCGUAGAUAUCUGGAGGAACACCGGUGGCGAAGGCGGCAUCCUGGACCGGCAUUGACGCUGAGGAGCGAAAGCUAGGGAGCAACAGGGG
rnacentral:rRNA from 1 species